rnacentral:rRNA from 1 species
UCUGGUGGCGAUGGCGGAGAGGACACACCUGUUCCCAUGCCGAACACAGCAGUUAAGCUCUCCAGCGCCGAUGGUAGUUGGGGCCUUGCCCCUGCGAGCGUAGGACGCUGCCAGGC